rnacentral:rRNA from 1 species
UACGUAGGGUGCGAGCGUUAAUCGGAAUUACUGGGCGUAAAGCGUGCGCAGGCGGUUCGUUAAGCCAGAUGUGAAAGCCCCGGGCUCAACCUGGGAACUGCAUUUGAAACUGGCGGGCUUGAGUAUGGCAGAGGGGGGUGGAAUUCCGCGUGUAGCAGUGAAAUGCGUAGAGAUGCGGAGGAACACCGAUGGCGAAGGCAGCCCCCUGGGCCAAUACUGACGCUCAGGCACGAAAGCGUGGGGAGCAAACAGG